rnacentral:rRNA from 1 species
AAUGAACGUUGGCGGCAUGGAUUAGGCAUGCAAGUCGAGCGAGAAGAGUUUUGAAGCUUGCUUUAGAACUCGGACAGCGGCGAAAGGGAGAGUAACGCGUAGUUAUGUGCCCUAGGGUCCGGAAUAGCCACGGGAAACUGUGGGUAAUGCCGGAUAACAUCCCCGGAUCAAAGGUGUGAUUCCGCCCUAGGAGCAGACUGCGUCCUACUAGCUAGUUGGUGGGGUAAUGGCCCACCAAGGCAAUGAUGGGUAGCGGGUGUGAGAGCAUGACCCGUCUCACUGGGACUGAGACACUGCCCAGACACCUACGGGUGGCUGCAGUCGAGAAUCUUCGGCAAUGGGCGAAAGCCUGACCGAGCGAUGCCGCGUGCGGGAUGAAGGCCCUCGGGUUGUAAACCGCUGUCGUAGGGGAGGAAGGUUCCGUGAAGAGCGGAAUUUGACCUAUCCUAGGAGGAAGUACGGGCUAAGUUCGUGCCAGCCGCCGCAGUAA